CCACGGGUGGCUGCAGUGGGGAAUAUUGCACAAUGGAGGAAACUCUGAUGCAGCAACGCCGCGUGGAGGAUGACACUUUUCGGAGCGUAAACUCCUUUUAUAUAGGAAGAAGAUGACGGUACUAUAUGAAUAAGCGCCGGCUAACUCCGUGCCAGCAGCCGCGGUAAUACGGAGGGCGCAAGCGUUACUCGGAAUCACUGGGCGUAAAGAGCGUGUAGGCGGAUUAAAAAGUCAGAAGUGAAAUCCUAUAGCUUAACUAUAGAACUGCUUCUGAAACUCUUAAUCUAGAAUAUGGGAGAGGUAGAUGGAAUUUCUGGUGUAGGGAUAAAAUCCGUAGAGAUCAGAAGGAAUACCGAUUGCGAAGGCGAUCUACUAGAACAUUAUUGACGCUGAGACGCGAAAGCGUGGGGAGCAAACAGGAUUAGAUACCCUUGUAGUC
rnacentral:rRNA from 1 species